AAUCGGUAGACGCUACGGACUUAAAAUCCGUCGACUUUCUAAGUCGUGAGGGUUCAAGUCCCUCUAUCCCCA
rnacentral:tRNA from 1 species